GACGAACGCUGGCGGCGUGCCUAAUACAUGCAAGUCGAACGCAGUGGGGACGGGUGAGUAACACGUGGGUAACCUCCCAUCAGAGGGGAUAACACUUGGAAACAGGUGCUAAACCGAUACUGAUGGAUGGACCCGCGGUGCAUUAGCUAGUUGGUGAGGUAACGGAGCACCAAGGCCACGAUGCAUAGCCGACCGUGGAGGGUGAUCGGCCAAAAUGUGACUGAGACAAGGCCCAGACUCCGACGGGAGGCAGGAGGAGGGAAACUUCGGCAAUGGAUGAAAGUCCGACCGAGCAACGCCGCGUUAGUGAAGAAGGUUUUCGGAUCGUAAAACUCUGUUGUUAGAGAAGCGGUAUCUAACCAGAAAGCCACGGCUAACUACGUGCCAGCAGCCGCGGUAAGAC
rnacentral:rRNA from 1 species